rnacentral:rRNA from 1 species
GACGAAGGACCCGAGCGCUAUCCGGAUUCAUUGGGUUUAAAGGGUGCGUAGGCGGAUUGAUAAGUCAGUGGUGAAAGCCUGUUGCUUAACAACAGAACUGCCAUUGAUACUGUUGAUCUUGAAUAUGUUUGAUGUGGGCGGAGUAUGACAUGUAGCGGUGAAAUGCUUAGAUAUGCCAUAGAACACCGAUUGCGAAGGCAGCUCACAAAGCCAUUAUUGACGCUGAGGCACGAAAGCGUGGGGAUCAAACAGG